GUGAAUCAUCAAAUUUUUGAACGCAAGUUGCACUCUCUGGUAUUCCGGAGAGUAUGCCUGUUUGAGGGUCAGUUUAAAUAAAAAUCGGUGUGGUUGCUGCCUUUCGUGGUUACGCACCGGAUUUGGGUCGUCUUGCCUUCGGUUAAGUGACCUAAAAUUUUGCAUGAUUUUUUUCGAACGUAUUUAAAUGAUUUUACGUACGUUUGCACUCACAACAAAAACAACUAACCAACAAAACAA
rnacentral:misc_RNA from 1 species